GUUCUUGUAGUUGAAUAACAACGGUGGGUUUUUA
rnacentral:tRNA from 1 species